UAAAUGCGCUGAUGCUAACGUUAUUGUUUUUUGCAAUUAAAAAGAAAAAAAAAAGUAAAGAAAAAAUCUGUCCGUCCAAUUUGGGGGUAAGGGUUUUCAAAACCUACAAAUUUUGAUCACAAAUUGUUCACAAUUUUCGCGCGAAAAGAUGGAUCCUGAAGGGCAUAGAGGGUCUUCAAAUCCAGCUGCAAUGCUUGCCAAUCUCUUAAACAAAAGAGCCAAGCUGCACGAGGAGCUUCGUGUUAUCGAAAGACAGGUUUAUGAUCUGGAGACAAGCUAUUUGCAAGAUCCAGGCCAGUGCGGCAAUGUAUUGAAAGGUUUCGAAGGGUUUCUAUCUUCAUCUAAGAACACUGCACUCUUAAAACGGUCUAGGAAGUUCCAGUCUGAAGAUAGGCUCUUCUCGUUGUCUUCAGUUACCUCACCAGCUGCUGAAGAACAAGCAGCUGGACGAGAUGGUGAGCCAUAUAAAGUUGCAAAACUUUGUUUUUCUGUUUUGUUUUAUCAAAUUCUUUCAAAUCUCUCUGUUUAUUGUAGAUGGGAGAUCAGAAUUUGGAGUAGGUCGAUCCAAGGGUGGAGGCAUAUACGCAAACGGACAGUGAGUACUUUGAUUUAGAUCAGUCUGAACCUCACGUUAUAACUAUAUUCGGAUGCCUUAUGCAUGAUUGAGAUGACCAAGGAAAGCCAAAGAAGGGAAGAGGUGCAUCGAGAGAUUCUAAAAGGAUCAGGCCUUCAGCUGAUCCAGAUUUUGAUUAUGAUGAUGAUGCAGAUUUGACCUUGUGAAAUUGGCUGCAUAAGAUGGUAUGCUAGUUGGCCGUUGCAUGUUCUAGGUCUUAGAGCAGAAAUCCCCGUGGUAUAUUCAUCACUUCUGUUGUGAGUUACCGUUCAAGCAAGCAAACCUACUUGUACUGUAAUGCAUUGUUACGUGGUGUAGAUCCUAGAGCUGAAUUCUUUGUGUAUAUUCUUCUUAUUCGUCUUGAGUUACGGUACGUUCAACUGUUCAAGCAAACAAACCCAUUACAUGAGUUAUUUAAUAACUGCUAUCUUGGC